rnacentral:rRNA from 1 species
CCUACGGGUGGCAGCAGUGAGGAAUAUUGGUCAAUGGACGGUAGCCUGAACCAGCCAUGCCGCGUGCAGGAUGACGGCUCUAUGAGUUGUAAACUGCUUUUGUACAAGGGUAAACCUGAAUACGUGUAUUCAUCUGCAAGUACUUUACGAAUAAGGAUCGGCUAACUCCGUGCCAGCAGCCGCGGUAAUACGGAGGAUCCAAGCGUUAUCCGGAUUUAUUGGGUUUAAAGGGUGCGUAGGCGGAUUGAUAAGUCAGUGGUGAAAGGUUGGGGCUCAACUCGAGAAUUGCAUGUGAUACUGUUAAUCUCGAGAGUAGGUGAGGUAGGCGGAAUGUAUGGUGUAGCGGUGAAAUGCUUAGAGAUCAUGAAGAACACCGAUUGCGAAGGCAGCUUACCAAUCUAUAUCUGACGUUGAGGCACGAAAGCGUGGGGAGCAAACAGGAUUAGAUACCCCAGUAGUC